GACGAACGCUGGCGGCGUGCUUAACACAUGCAAGUCGAACGGAAAGGCCCUGCAUUUGUGGGGUGCUCGAGUGGCGAACGGGUGAGUAACACGUGAGUAACCUGCCCUUGACUUUGGGAUAACUUCAGGAAACUGGGGCUAAUACAGGAUAGGAGCUCCUGCUGCAGGGUGGGGGGGGGAAAGUUUCGGCGGUUGGGGAUGGACUCGCGGCUUAUCAGCUUGUUGGUGGGGUAGUGGCUUACCAAGGCUUUGACGGGUAGCCGGCCUGAGAGGGUGACCGGCCACAUUGGGCCUGAGAUACGGCCCAGACUCCUUCGGGAGGCAGCAGUGGGGAAUAUUGCACAAUGGGCGGCAGCCUGAUGCAGCAACGCCGCGUGCUGGAUGACGGCCUUCUGGUUGUAAACCGCUUUCGCCUGUGACGAAGCGUGAGUGACGGUACUGGGUAAAGAAGCACCGGCUAACUACGUG
rnacentral:rRNA from 1 species